GGAAAACGGGAGGCGGGAAGCUGCGCUGCCUGGAGGGCCGUGUGCUUGAAGUAUACUUGCAAGAACCGGUCCAGCUUCCGCUUCAGUGGAUUCUUUCGGCGACGAGGUCUAGGGCAGCUCCAGUGACGAAAAGCGUCCUGCUGUUCCCCUGCCCCCUGCCCCACCAGGAGCUGCCCACAUGUCGAUGGUAACCGAGCCGGGCACAAGUGCCACUGCACGACCAUCAACUCGGCAGCAGCCCCACGGGCCCCCUCGGCAACAGCCACUUGAAGAUGCGGCCUGCUGGGCAACCGAUGAGCAUGCACGGCUGGGGCAGCUGGUCGAGGCUGCUAACGCGGACGCCGCCAACUUCCACCAGCUGCUGCUGCAGCAAAAUGGGCAGCUACGUACAACUUGACCAGGAAACUCUGUGGGGAGCCGGGUUGCCAUUUUCAUCAUCACUGCUGCUCUUGCUGCUGUCAUCACUGACAUCAGACACGUCACCUUCAUCAAGACACAAGUUGUGCAACACGGCACAUGCUGCAACGAUUUUGGCAGCAUGGCCUGGUUCGUUGUGGAGGGCGCGGUACCACUGAAGGCAGCGGAAGUGGCUCUUGAGGA